rnacentral:rRNA from 1 species
UACGUAGGGCGCAAGCGUUGUCCGGAAUUAUUGGGCGUAAAGAGCUCGUAGGCGGUUUGUCGCGUCUGCUGUGAAAUCCCGAGGCUCAACCUCGGGCUUGCAGUGGGUACGGGCAGACUAGAGUGCGGUAGGGGAGACUGGAAUUCCUGGUGUAGCGGUGGAAUGCGCAGAUAUCAGGAGGAACACCGGUGGCGAAGGCGGGUCUCUGGGCCGAUAUCGACGCUGAGGAGCGAAAGCGUGGGGAGCGAACAGG